rnacentral:rRNA from 1 species
GCCCUUACACGACCGUACCGCAAACCGACACUGGUGCGCUAGAUGAGUAUUCUAAGGCGCUUGAGAGAACUCAGGAGAAGGAACUCGGCAAAUUGACACCGUAACUUCGGAAGAAGGUGUGCCUUGAGUAGGUGAGCCCGUACAGGGUAAGCCCAAAGAGGUUGCAAAAAAUAGGUGGCUGCGACUGUUUAUUAAAAACACAGCACUCUGCAAACACGAAAGUGGACGUAUAGGGUGUGACGCCUGCCCGGUGCUGGAAGAUUAAAUGAUGGGGUGCAAGCUCUUGAUUGAAGUCCCAGUAAACGGCGGCCGUAACUAUAACGGUCCUAAGGUAGCGAAAUUCCUUGUCGGGUAAGUUCCGACCUGCACGAAUGGCGUAACGAUGGCCACACUGUCUCCUCCUGAGACUCAGCGAAGUUGAAAUGUUUGUGAUGAUGCAAUCUCCCCGCGGAAAGACGGAAAGACCCCAUGAACCUUUACUGUAGCUUUGUAUUGGACUUUGAACAGAUCUGUGUAGGAUAGGUGGGAGGCUUUGAAGCAGGGUCGCUAGAUCUUGUGGAGCCAACGUUGAAAUACCACCCUGGUGUGUUUGAGGUUCUAACCUAGGUCCAUUAUCUGGAUCGGGGACAGUGCAUGGUAGGCAGUUUGACUGGGGCGGUCUCCUCCCAAAGCGUAACGGAGGAGUUCGAAGGUACGCUAGUUACGGUCGGACAUCGUGACGAUAGUGCAAUGGCAUAAGCGUGCUUAACUGCGAGACUGACAAGUCGAGCAGAUGCGAAAGCAGGACAUAGUGAUCCGGUGGUUCUGUAUGGAAGGGCCAUCGCUCAACGGAUAAAAGGUACUCUGGGGAUAACAGGCUGAUACCGCCCAAGAGUUCAUAUCGACGGCGGUGUUUGGCACCUCGAUGUCGGCUCAUCUCAUCCUGGGGCUGUAGCCGGUCCCAAGGGUAUGGCUGUUCGCCAUUUAAAGAGGUACGUGAGCUGGGUUUAAAACGUCGUGAGACAGUUUGGUCCCUAUCUUCCGUGGGCGCUGCAGAUUUGAGGAAGCCUGCUCCUAGUACGAGAGGACCGGAGUGGACACACCUCUGGUGUAUCGGUUGUCACGCCAGUGGCAUUGCCGAGUAGCUAAGUGUGGAAGAGAUAAACGCUGAAAGCAUCUAAGCGUGAAACUCGUUUCAAGAUGAGAUCUGCCGGGGCCUUGAGCCCCCUAAAGAGUCGUUCAAGACCAGGACGUUGAUAGGUCAGGUGUGGAAGCGCAGUAAUGCGUUAAGCUAACUGAUACUAAUUGCUCGUGCGGCUUGACCU